GGGGGUGUAGUUCAUUUGGUAGAAAGCUCGCUUAGCAUGCGAAAGGUCCGGGGUUCGAAUCCCCGCACCUCCA